GACGAACGCUGGCGGCGUGCUUAACACAUGCAAGUCGAACGAAGUGGCGAACGGGUGAGUAACGCGUGAGUAACCUGCCUUAGAGAUGGGGAUAGCCUCUGGAAACGGAGAAUAAUACCCAAUGCUCUAAGAUGGACUUGCGUCUGAUUAGCUAGUUGGUGAGAUAAUGGCUCACCAAGGCAACGAUCAGUAGCCGGCUUGAGAGAGUGUACGGCCACAUUGGGACUGAGACACGGCCCAGACUCCUACGGGAGGCAGCAGUGGGGAAUAUUGCACAAUGGGCGCAAGCCUGACGGAGCAACGCCGCGUGAGUGAAGAAGGUUUUCGGAUCGUAAAGCUCUGUUGUAAGAGAAGCGGUAUCUUACCAGAAAGCCACGGCUAACUACGUGCCAGCAGCCGCGGUAAUAC
rnacentral:rRNA from 1 species